GAGUUUGAUCAUGGCUCAGGACGAACGCUGGCGGCGUGCCUAAUACAUGCAAGUAGAACGCUGAAGAGAGGAGCUUGCUCUUCUUGGAUGAGUUGCGAACGGGUGAGUAACGCGUAGGUAACCUGCCUUGUAGCGGGGGAUAACUAUUGGAAACGAUAGCUAAUACCGCAUAACAAUGGAUGACACAUGUCAUUUAUUUGAAAGGGGCAAUUGCUCCACUACAAGAUGGACCUGCGUUGUAUUAGCUAGUAGGUGAGGUAACGGCUCACCUAGGCGACGAUACAUAGCCGACCUGAGAGGGUGAUCGGCCACACUGGGACUGAGACACGGCCCAGACUCCUACGGGAGGCAGCAGUAGGGAAUCUUCAGCAAUGGGGGCAACCCUGACCGAGCAACGCCGCGUGAGUGAAGAAGGUUUUCGGAUCGUAAAGCUCUGUUGUAAGUCAAGAACGAGUGUGAGAGUGGAAAGUUCACACUGUGACGGUAGCUUACCAGAAAGGGACGGCUAACUACGUGCCAGCAGCCGCGGUAAUACGUAGGUCCCGAGCGUUGUCCGGAUUUAUUGGGCGUAAAGCGAGCGCAGGCGGUUUGAUAAGUCUGAAGUUAAAGGCUGUGGCUCAACCAUAGUUCGCUUUGGAAACUGUCAAACUUGAGUGCAGAAGGGGAGAGUGGAAUUCCAUGUGUAGCGGUGAAAUGCGUAGAUAUAUGGAGGAACACCGGUGGCGAAAGCGGCUCUCUGGUCUGUAACUGACGCUGAGGCUCGAAAGCGUGGGGAGCGAACAGGAUUAGAUACCCUGGUAGUCCACGCCGUAAACGAUGAGUGCUAGGUGUUGGAUCCUUUCCGGGAUUCAGUGCCGCAGCUAACGCAUUAAGCACUCCGCCUGGGGAGUACGACCGCAAGGUUGAAACUCAAAGGAAUUGACGGGGGCCCGCACAAGCGGUGGAGCAUGUGGUUUAAUUCGAAGCAACGCGAAGAACCUUACCAGGUCUUGACAUCCCGAUGCUAUUUCUAGAGAUAGAAAGUUACUUCGGUACAUCGGUGACAGGUGGUGCAUGGUUGUCGUCAGCUCGUGUCGUGAGAUGUUGGGUUAAGUCCCGCAACGAGCGCAACCCCUAUUGUUAGUUGCCAUCAUUCAGUUGGGCACUCUAGCGAGACUGCCGGUAAUAAACCGGAGGAAGGUGGGGAUGACGUCAAAUCAUCAUGCCCCUUAUGACCUGGGCUACACACGUGCUACAAUGGUUGGUACAACGAGUUGCGAGUCGGUGACGGCAAGCUAAUCUCUUAAAGCCGAUCUCAGUUCGGAUUGUAGGCUGCAACUCGCCUACAUGAAAGUCGGAAAUCGCUAGUAAUCGCGGAAUCAGCGCGCCGCGGUGAAUACGUUUCCCGGGCCUUGCGCUCACCGCCCGUCA
rnacentral:rRNA from 1 species